rnacentral:rRNA from 1 species
GGUAGUCCACGCCGUAAACGAUGUCUACUAGCUGUAGGGGUACUUGAGACCUUUGUAGCGCAGCUAACGCAAUAAGUAGACCGCCUGGGGAGUACGGCCGCAAGGUUAAAACUCAAAUGAAUUGACGGGGGCCCGCACAAGCAGUGGAGCAUGUGGUUUAAUUCGAUGCAACGCGAAGAACCUUACCAGGCCUUGACAUCCUCGGAACUUUCUAGAGAUAGAUUGGUGCCUUCGGGAACCGAGUGACAGGUGCUGCAUGGUUGUCGUCAGCUCGUGUCGUGAGAUGUUGGGUUAAGUCCCGUAACGAGCGCAACCCUUGUCCUUAGUUGCCAGCACAUUAUGGUGGGAACUCUAAGGAGACUGCCGGUGACAAACCGGAGGAAGGUGGGGACGACGUCAAGUCAUCAUGGCCCUUACGGCCUGGGCUACACACGUGCUACAAUGGCUAGGACAGACGGCCGCAAACCCGCGAGGGGGAGCCAAUCCGACAAACCUAGUCGUAGUCCGGAUCGGAGUCUGCAACUCGACUCCGUGAAGUCGGAAUUGCUAGUAAUCGCGAAUCAGAAUGUCGCGGUGAAUACGUUCCCGGGCCUUGUACACACCGCCCGUCACACCAUGGGAGUGGGUUGCUCCAGAAGUGGUUAGUCUAACCUUCGGGAGGACGAUCACCACGGAGUGAUUCAUGACUGGGGUGAAGUCGUAACAAGGUAACCGUA